AUACGGAGGGGGUUAGCGUUGUUCGGAAUUACUGGGCGUAAAGCGUACGUAGGCGGAUUAGUAAGUUAGGGGUGAAAUCCCGAGGCUCAACCUCGGAACUGCCUCUAAAACUGCUAGUCUUGAGUUCGAGAGAGGUGAGUGGAAUUCCUAGUGUAGAGGUGAAAUUCGUAGAUAUUAGGAGGAACACCAGUGGCGAAGGCGGCUCACUGGCUCGAUACUGACGCUGAGGUACGAAAGUGUGGGGAGCAAACAGGAGUAGAAACCCUAGUAGUCC
rnacentral:rRNA from 1 species